rnacentral:lncRNA from 1 species
GAAUGGAGGACUAUUCAUAUAUCUUUCUUUUUUUUUGCGGGGGAGGACUAUUCAUAUAUCAACAAACAUCCUCCCACAAACCCACUGUUCAGCCCGAAGACCCACCCAGCAGCCACAGCGAGGCUCUAAGCUUACAAAAUCUCAGUGGCAUCGGCUCACUGUGAAGGGAAGAAAAGGCGUCUAAAAAUUAACUCUCUUGCCCACAUAAUGUACCAACAGUAAUGACAUCAAUGAUAGUGGAUUGCACAAUUUGAGUGCAGUACCACCAACACAAUGCUCUAACAAAUAUAUUCAAGUACAUUCACAAUAGGGAGGCAAAUGAAGUUGAUCUUGUAUGCACAAAAUGGUGUCUGCUGGAGGAGGCAAACUUGCAAUAACAAAUCUGAAAUUCAAACAGGCUAUAACUGAUUUGCUCAAAUCUUACCAUAACAAAUCUGACCACCAUACAGGUUAUAACUGGUUUGCUCAAAUCUGAACCUAUUCAGACAACAUGUUUUGCUCUGUGUAGCAGGCAGACUGCCAAUCACAUCCAUGGUGGUCCUCAACACCCCCUUGUACCUAUUGUCAUGCCCAUGGCCUGCAGUCAAGAAAGCUCUUAAAUUCAUAGUAGUUGCUCGAAGCAAAGUCGGCAUCCUUAUCUCUUAGGUAGUUCACUGCCAAAACAAAGUAUAUACAGGAAAGCAAAAGGCUAAGAGGGACAUGCAAAAGCUUGUAACAGCAGAAGAAACCAUACUGAAAUAUUGUAGUGCACAACCAUUUUAUAAGAAACAAUCGAGCCUAGUAACCAAACCACCAUUGUAAUUGUUUACAUGAAUAAAAGGCAUAAGUUUUGUGUGGAUAAAGGCUAGCUCUUUUGUUGGAACAACCACCGGUCGAACGAUUCAUAGGGGAACCGAAAAACUAAUAACAGAAGCUGGGAAACAAAAUGUAUACCUGAGCAGAACUGGAUGUGUAUCAUUCUUCACUAAUGCCCCAUACCUCACUAAGCUUCUCACAAUUACCAAGACUACCUGCACAGGUGGACAGAAACAAACAAUAAAAGCUAGCACCACACUAAAAAACAGUCAUAGCAAAGCAUUCUGAAGCACAACAAUUGCCAGCUCAUAUGCAUCUGCUAAAUAACUUACUAACAUGAAUUCUUCACUGUAUACGCCACUUACAUCUAUACAACGUACUCCCUCUGUCCCAAAAUAAGUGUCUUAACUUUAUACUAACUUUAGUACAAAGUUGUGCUAUAGUUAAGACACUUAUUUUGGGAUGGAGGGGGUAUCAUUCAUUAUCCAGUCUAUGCAUCACUUCACUGCAUAGAUGUAAAGGAAUGCCCGUGCAGGUGAUAAUGUGUAAGGUAAAGCAUGCCAUAACUGAAAAUGUGAGAGUAAGUGUAUUAUGGAAAAGCCUACACAAAUUAACCAGGCGAACUCUAAAACUGGAAGCAAAUUAAAAUCGUGAAAUUAGACAUCAACUAUUUAUCAAAUGCACAUCACUGUAGGACAUCAAGAAAGGAAAAUGAGGAAUUAUUAUCUCUAUUGGCCAUGGCAAGAAAAGAGUUGCAGAGGAAUUACAUCAGUCAAAGCGAUGAACAAACCCAGGAAAAGAGGCCGUCAAGGUCACGGGGGCUGAGCCAGGGCAGCACGUCCGAG